AUAAUACUCCUUCCGUUCGGAAUUACUUGUCACAGAAAUGGAUGUAUCUGGAUGUAUUUUAGUUCUAGAUACAUCCAUUUUCGAGACAAGUAAUUCCGAACGGAGGGAGUACUUA
rnacentral:pre_miRNA from 1 species